AACGCACAUGGCGCCUUCCAGUAUCCUGGGAGGCAUGCCUGUCCGAGCGUCGUUUCAACCCUCGAGCCCCCGUGGCCCGGCGUUGGGGAUCUGCCCAGGCAGGCCCCGAAAACCAGUGGCGGACCCGUUACAGGCCCUUCCUUUGCGUAGUAAUACUGCCUCGCAUCGGGAGCCGGCGGGCUUCCAGCCUCUAAACCCCCAGCAAGUCCGCCUCGGCGGCACCAAGGUUGACCUCGGAUCAGGUAGGAAUACCCGCUGAACUUAA
rnacentral:misc_RNA from 1 species